rnacentral:lncRNA from 1 species
CCACUGUUUUCAAAGUGAAUUGUUUGUUGUAUCGAGUCCUUAAGUAUGGAUAUAUAUGUGACCCUAAUUAAGAACUACCAGAUUGGAUCAACUAAUCAUGUCAGCAAUGUAAAUAACUUUAUUUUUCAUAUUCAAAAUAAAAACUUUCUUUUAUUUCUGGCCCCUUUAUAACCAGCAUCUUUUUGCUUUAAAAAAUGACCUGGCUUUGUAUUUUUUUAGUCUUAAACAUAAUAAAAAUAUUUUUGUUCUAAUUUGCUUUCAUGAGUGAAGAUUAUUGACAUCGUUGGUAAAUUCUAGAAUUUUGAUUUUGUUUUUUAAUUUGAAGAAAAUCUUUGCUAUUAUUAUUUUUUCCAAGUGGUCUGGCAUUUUAAGAAUUAGUGCUAAUAACGUAACUUCUAAAUUUGUCGUAAUUGGCAUGUUUAAUAGCAUAUCAAAAAACAUUUUAAGCCUGUGGAUUCAUAGACAAAGCAAUGAGAAACAUUAGUAAAAUAUAAAUGGAUAUUCCUGAUGCAUUUAGGAAGCUCUCAAUUGUCUCUUGCAUAGUUCAAGGAAUGUUUUCUGAAUUUUUUUAAUGCUUUUUUUUUUUUUGAAAGAGGAAAACAUACAUUUUUAAAUGUGAUUAUCUAAUUUUUACAACACUGGGCUAUUAGGAAUAACUUUUUAAAAAUUACUGUUCUGUAUAAAUAUUUGAAAUUCAAGUACAGAAAAUAUCUGAAACAAAAAGCAUUGUUGUUUGGCCAUGAUACAAGUGCACUGUGGCAGUGCCGCUUGCUCAGGACCCAGCCCUGCAGCCCUUCUGUGUGUGCUCCCUCGUUAAGUUCAUUUGCUGUUAUUACACACACAGGCCUUCCUGUCUGGUCGUUAGAAAAGCCGGGCUUCCAAAGCACUGUUGAACACAGGAUUCUGUUGUUAGUGUGGAUGUUCAAUGAGUUGUAUUUUAAAUAUCAAAGAUUAUUAAAUAAAGAUAAUGUUUGCUUUUCUA